ensembl:lncRNA
AUGCUUCCCUGUAGAAUCAGGAUCCUUGAAUGAACAAGUAGGGAAUUUCCAGCUCAAAUACAGAGAACAAUGCCCCUGUGCACAAAGCGAGUUCCAUGAAGACAUGGAUUGCCAAGAUUGGAGUAAGAACUGUAGUGGCCUGCACUGACCUGAAUUGACCUCAACCUCACUCAACACCUCUGGAAUGAAGAGGAAUGAGGGGCUGCUUAAUUGUACACGAAGACAUCAAUCGGGGUCUUUAAGGAAACAGCUGAAUGGUGCUUCUAUGCCAGACGUCAUGUCUAUCCAUGGUCUUUACUGACAUGUCAGCCAGACACAGAAUGUGUUCUUCCUGAUAAUGAGUGGUGGUGUGAGCUAGAGGGACUUGCUGUGUAUUUAAAAAUUGUGGCCUUCGAAUGUGUGUAAUGAAAGUGUAAAGUUAGCUAUAUAACUUUGUGAUGUACACCCAUGAGUCAUAACUGUUUAACAUUUGGUCCUCCACUAUGCUUGUUAAACCUGGUACUAUACUAGCUACUAUAGACUAAUUGGGCACAUGCAGUAUGGUAAUUAAUCACUGGUCAAAAACUAAUUACAUGCAUCUUUGCUGAUGAACAUUGUUUAUUCAGUGUGACAUGCUGUCAGUGUAUAAGAUGAAGCAUUUUUAAAAGUAUUUAUGUAAAAUCCCACCCCCUCCUAAAAAAAUGAAUAUUUUUUUCAAUAACACUUAAUAAAAAAAAAUACUUUCCUUUAAUGGCCAAACAGAUUAAACAUGUAAACAAGAACAGUAUUUAAAACCUUCUGUACAAUAAUGAUUCAUUGCAUGUUAAUGCUAAUUUGUAUUGUAUGCAC